CUCUGAAUAAGCUUAAUUAUAAUUUGAUCAGCAGAGAAGUUGCUCAUAUCAUUGACAAAUGUGUGUGGUUCAAACAUGAAUGUUGGUUGAUAUUUCAUUUUUAUUCAUAAUUAAAAUGGAAAUGAGACAACAAAUAUGUAUGUUGGAACUUCACUUGUCUAUCAAUGACAUGAGCAACUUCUUUGCUGAAUUAGAUGAUAGUUUUUGAAUACUGGAAGAAUAUUUCCUGAAGUUUUUGUGCUCAUCACAAUGUAACAGACUCAGACAUAACACUCAUGUUAAUUCUUCUUCUUAUUAUUUUCUCCAUCACUUUCUUAAGUCUAGACCAAGAGUCAGCAAACCAUGGCCCUUGAGCCGAAUCUAGCCUGCUAUCUGGCUUUGCCAAUAAAGCCUGGAACAUAGCCACGUUCAUGACUUAUCCACGACUGCCUUUGCACUACAACAACAGGGUUGAGUGUUGCAACAGAGACCGUGUGGCCCACAAAGCCUAAAAUAUAUACUAUCUGGCCUUUUACAGACAACUUUUGCAGACCUCUGGUCCGGACAAUGAACAACCCAUAGAACAAGAUCUGAUUUGUAAUGUUUGCUGAUCUCCAAAGUGUAAAUACUCCCACCAUGACCAAUUGGAAGCCACUGACAAGUCCUCACUAAAUGCAGAAUUGAGAAGAAACACGAAUAGCACAUCAUUGUAUGGUAUUUCCACUCUACCAAUGGAUGUGAAUAACCUCAAGAACACAUAAUGUUGAGAUGUGGAAAAAUCAUCAGGAAGCCGUGAGUUUUGACUAUUUGCUUUUUAGCUAAUUAAUUAUAAGGUCACAUAAUUUAGUGUUUAAUAAUCACUAUGUUAACAACCAGCUCACAGCAUUCCUGAAAAUUUCACAGUUGGCUCCUGUAAGCUGAUAUGGCCAGCCCCAGCUCAUGACAGGUUACGGUAUGCUGUCAAUUGUGUGGAAAACGUAUCGGGAGGUCAUGACUGUAUAUCCACAUAAGCUUCUCUAUGCACAGAGUAUCUCUGGAAGAUGCAUAAGAAAUUGCAACAGCUGUUGCUUCCGCAGUGGGCAAAUGGAGGUCUGGGAGUUGAGUUGGGGAUGCACAUUUAUUUUUUACUAUAUGUUCUUUUGUAGAGAAUAUAAAUUGGUAUGAAUUUUUUAAGCAUAUGUCUGUGUUACCCUUAAAUCCCAAUGGAUCUUUUAUAAGCAAGCUCUUCCAUCUUUUUUUUCCCGAGUCUCCCCUUCACCCUGCAGUGUCUCUGCAAUGCUGGUAGAGUGGGCUGGCACAGCCCCCGCCUCUGGCCUGGUCCGGGUCCAACCUGCCUGCCUCCUGGGGCAGCAGCUCCCUGAACGAAGAGCCGCGGAGACCGAAGAACUCAGUGAAUCAGCAGUUCUCCCAGAUGAAACGCUGGCCUGAAAGCAGCCUCAAGAGCUUUGGCCCGUCACCUUGCCUUGCCUUCUCUUCCUUCCUCGUCCUCUGUUUGUUCAUCUUUCCUGAAAAAAUUAAGUCAGCUGUUCCCCUUAACCAAUUUCCCUGGCAUUCUGAAGGGUAGGCCACAUGGCCCACCUGCCAGCUACUCCCACCUGCCAAGCCUUCCUGACUAUAUUUACCCUGGUACUCCCAUGUCCCGGGGCUGCUUCAGCAGAGCCAAGGACACACCCAGGUGUUUGUUUUCUAGGUCAGAUUUCCUCAGCCAUGGGUGUAUCUGUGCUUGUCCCUCAAAAUCCUCAUAGCUCCUUUCCCCACCCCAACUUCCAGGCCAGACGGGGUUCAGGGGUGUCUCAGCUAAGGUUCCCCUGAAGCAGACACAAAUUAGUACAAAAGGGACUUAUUAGGAGGUGAUCCUUAAAAAUUUGGGCAGGAGAAUGGAAAGGGUGGACACAGACAAAAAGGAUGCCAAGUGAGAAUGUGAUGAUUACUGCUGCAGUUUUCUACAGCUGCCUGUCAAACUAUCCCAACACAGUGGCAUUGACCAGCAGCCAUUUUCGCUAUGCCCACAGCUUCUGUGGGUCAGGCGUUUGGACAGGGCAAUGGGAACAGCUUGUUUCUGUUCCAUAGUGUGUGAGGGAGGCCUCAACUGGAAAACUCAAAGACCGGGGUGGCUUGAUGACUGGAGGCUGGAACCAUCCGGAAGCUUCUUGAAGCUGGGUUGACUUACAUGUGGUCUUGCAUGUGAGUUGGGCUUUUCACAUCAUGGCUGUUGGGUUCCAAGAGGCAGUGUCUGGGGAACAAGAGUUCCAAGACACCAAGGCAGAAGCUGCUAGACCUUUUUUGACCUCGCUUCGGAUGUCAGCAAUGAAGUUCUGUGGAUUCAACUGCAUUCUAUUGGUUACCAGCAGUCGCUUGAAUCUGAUUAGCUCCAAAACUGAGUGAGCCUCUGGCAAGAGUGCAUUGCAGAAGGGCACAUCCAAUGAGAGGCGCUGCUGUAGUAACAGGGACCUCUCCAAUGGCCUGUUUGAGUGCUCUCAGAAUAUGGCACCUGGGUUCCUCCAGAGCAAGUGAUCUGAGAGAGAGCAAGGAGAAGGCCACUCUGCCUUUCAUGACUCAUCUCAGAAGUCACACACUAUCACAGGUUCUGUUCUGUUCAUUGGAAGUGAGUCAUGAAGUCCGGCCCACACUCAAGAGAAAGGAAAUUAUGCUCCUUCUUUUGAAAUGAGUGUAAGAAAGUAAAACUUUGUCAAAUGUGUAUGUGUGUGUGUGUGUGUGUCCCUAAACUAUGUGUCUUUUUUUUUAAUCUUUCCUAAAUGGAAUCACACUGUGAGUGUUCUGUGACUUGAAGUUUCACAAGACAUUAUAUUUCUGAAAUCCAUUCAUGUUGACACACUGUAUUAGUUUGCUCCAGCUGCCAUAACAAAAUACCACAGACUAGGGGCUUAAACAACAGAAAUUUACUUUCUCACCAGUUCUGGAGGCUGAAGUUCGAGAUCCAGGCAUGGGCAGGAUCAGUUUCUCCUGGGGCCUCUGUCCUCGGCUUGCAGAUGGCAUCUUCUCCCUGUGUCCCCACAUGGUCCUCCCUCUGUGUGAGUCUGUGUCUUCAUCUCCCCUUCUUAUAAGGACACCAAUCAGGUUGGAUUAGGGGCCACCCUAAAGACCUCACUUUAACUCAAUCACCUCUUUAAAGAACCCACCUCCAAAUAUAGUCCUGAGGUCCUGGGGGUUAGGACUUCAACAGAGGAAUGCUGGGGAGACACAAUUCAACCCAUAGCAUGCAUAUAAUUGUAGUUUGUUAAUUUUCACUACUCUAUAGUAUCCCAUUUUAUGAACAGACAAAAGUAUAUUAUUUAUUCUACCAACAAUGGAUAUUUUGGUUAUUUCCAGUUUUUUGUUAUUAUAGAUGAUACUGCCACAAGCAACCUGGCUCCCAUGAACAUGUAGCAUAUAUGCAUCUCUAUAUUUACUGUUAAUCCCAAUUCUUUUACAAAGUGGUUGCACCAGUUUACACUCCCACCAGCAGCAUAUCGGAGUUACUCCACAUUCUUACCAAUAUUUGGUAUGGUCAGAAUCCUUAACUUGCUAAUCUCAUGGUUGCAAAAUAAUAUCUCUUUUGUGGCUUUAAUUAGCCUUUCCCAGAUUACCAAUAAGGCAGUGAAUCUUUUCAUUUGUUUAUGAAAUGCUUUUUCAUUUCCUCUGUCCAUUUUUCCACUGGGUUGUUCACUCUGCCUUACUGAUUUGUCAAAAGUCUUCGCAUAUUGCAGUUGCAAUUACUUUGAUCACCUGUGGCUUGUCUUUUCAGAUUCUCUUGCCAAUUUUUGUCCACCUUGGCUCCUCUUCUUUUGCCCGUCUCUUGUUCGUGUCCCUCUUGGGUCCUGUUCUCUCCUUGUUCCACAUGUGAUCCCAUGUCAAUCAGUCCAAUGAAUAAAGUUUCCACUGCAUAUGCACCUGAAUCCUAAGUCUAUAUCUUCAAAAUAGCUCUUAAAAUCCACUGAACUCAGCCAGGUGCAGUGGCUCAUGCCUGUAAUCCCAGCACUUUGGGAGGCUGAGGUGGGCAGAUCACAUAAGGCCAGGAGUUCGAG
rnacentral:lncRNA from 1 species